GCUCCCAUGGCGUAGUGGUCACUGCACUCGCCUUGCACGCGGGAGACCCGGGUUCGAUUCCCUGUGGGGUCA
rfam:Asian citrus Psyllid, Diaphorina citri - Florida Strain, whole genome shotgun sequence.